ACGCACAACCCUCGUUUGUUUGUGCGCUUCGCCCCGUUACACUCUCUGCAGACAGACCCGCGGCCGCCGGCGAGCUAUGGCACAGUACACGCUGUCUGCUCCACAGGAGGAGUCACCACGCGGGCGCAGACGAUCGAGCGCUAAAAUGCAGCGCGGGGUCUCGGGGGGUCUCGUUAGAGGCGUCUGUGAGCGAGGACGGGGGAGAAAACGGGCAGUCAACUUCUUCUUCCCCUCUUCAAACGUCGGUCCCGGUGACACUUCCUGCCGCGGCGCCGUCGGAGGAAGCGAGCGGCGGCCGCACCUCGGGCCGUGGAUGGAGGCCGCGUGUCGGACUCGCGACACGGCCGCCGCAGAGGGCGUUUGCCGACGCUGCCUGCCCCAAUCCAUCCACUCCGCUCAGCAAAAAAGAACGACGGAACCACUGCAUGCGACUUUUUUGCAUCUCAGACGAACUGUGUCUUGAUUAAGUGUUUAUUCAACUGUUUUUCCAAUUAGUUGAAGCCUAAAACGGGUCCAGGCGCCGCCGCGCCACGGAUGCCCUCAUCAAAUCGCAGUUCAAUUUGAUUAAAAAAAAAAAAAAAAAGAA